rnacentral:lncRNA from 1 species
UUCGAUUAAAAUAUAUAAUUAAAAUAUUUUUAUAAAUAAAAAAAUAAUGAUUGUGAUAACUAUAAUCACAUAUAGUUAAAUAAUAUAUAUUAUUUUAAAAUAUGAUUAUGUUUAAUAUUAGUAUAUGAGUAAAAAAAAGGUUGUUUAGAAAUAUUAGAUUUUUUAUUAUAUCGUAGUUUGUUUAUAUUUUGAUGUAAUAGAUCUCUUAUAAUAUUUCAUAAGUUUGAAAGGAUGUAUCAUUUUUUAUUU